rnacentral:rRNA from 1 species
GAUGAACGCUGGCGGCGUGCCUAAUACAUGCAAGUCGAGCGAACGGACGAGAAGCUUGCUUCUCUGAUGUUAGCGGCGGACGGGUGAGUAACACGUGGAUAACCUACCUAUAAGACUGGGAUAACUUCGGGAAACCGGAGCUAAGACCGGAUAAUAUUUUGAACCGCAUGGUUCAAAAGUGAAAGACGGUCUUGCUGUCACUUAUAGAUGGAUCCGCGCUGCAUUAGCUAGUUGGUAAGGUAACGGCUUACCAAGGCAACGAUGCAUAGCCGACCUGGGAGGGUGAUCGGCCACACUGGAACUGGGACACGGUCCAGACUCCUACGGGAGGCAGCAGUAGGGAAUCUUCCGCAAUGGGCGGAAGCCUGACGGAGCAACGCCGCGUGGGUGGUGAAGGUCUUCGGGUCGUAAAGCUCUGUUAUUAGGGAAGAACAUAUGUGUAAGUAACUGUGCACAUCUUGACGGUACCUAAUCAGAAAGCCACGGCUAACUACGUG